UACGUAGGGUGCAAGCGUUGUCCGGAAUUAUUGGGCGUAAAGAGCUCGUAGGCGGUCUGUCGCGUCGGCUGUGAAAUCCCGAGGCUCAACCUCGGGUCUGCAGUCGAUACGGGCAAACUUGAGUGUUGCAGGGGAGACUGGAAUUCCUGGUGUAGCGGUGAAAUGCGCAGAUAUCAGGAGGAACACCGGUGGCGAAGGCGGGUCUCUGGGCAACAACUGACGCUGAGGAGCGAAAGCCAGGGGAGCAAACGGG
rnacentral:rRNA from 1 species